CAGUCAUUGGGUGGAUGGCAGGAAACAUCACAAGGCUGUAGAAGAACAAAAAAGAUAAAAGUUCUUCUAAGAAAGUUCCCAAAAAUAUGUUGGGGAAAUUCAUUUCCUCCAAGUUAAUAUAUAAAAAGGGCUGGUCCUCCAGGUGCUGUACACAGGUUCAGCGUACUAUAAAAACAGCCUGUUGCUUCACACAGACGCAGACAGUCUAUUGACAGAGCAGCAUCUACAUCUGUCUUGAAAACCAGCUUUCCUUUGUAGAAAGGACAGAGCGACUGUAAUACAGACCCACCUUAUUCAUUGAACAUAAUCUAACAGUAUGAAUCAGUUCCUCAGAGUCAUUCUGCCUGUGCUUUUGAUCUCCUUCGGGUUGUGCAUUACAGGGCAGUCAGAAAGAGAUAAUGCCAACCAGACUCGAAUUGCUGUCAGGGCUACUAUUGGAAAGAUCUAUGUGACAAAUGGGCAGGUCUGGGGCUCAUGGGGCAAUCAACAGAUGUGUCCCACUGAUACCUACGCAUCUGGUUUUAGCCUUUUGGUAUAUGCAGAGCAGGGUUUUUUUUACGAUGAUUCUGCCCUAAAUGGAAUCGCUCUUCAAUGCACUCCACUUCGCACAGCUACUAGCCCAAUUAACGACUAUACAACAGUGACUUCUGCCACAGGAAGCUUUGGAUCAUGGAUGCCAGAUAGGUGGUGCCCAAGUGGACAACUGGUGGCCUUUCAGCUGAGGGUGCAAGCUAAUCAAGGAAUAUUUUGUGAUGAUCCUGCUGCCAAUAACAUUAGUUGAGUACAUUAAUGUUUUAUAAUAAUUCAAAGAUUCAGUAUUUGCUAACAUACCUUUUUCAGUUGUUCAGUAGUUUGUAAGGACAAUUAACCUGGUGCUUUAGGGUUAGAAACUCUUCUCCCUCAAAUGUUUCCAGGUUCAAAUGUACGGAUGGUUCAGUGGUGGAGGGUGAUGGUAUGAAGUGGGGAGAAUGGGGUUCUUGGAGUGAAACCUGCAUGGGAAAAGGUAUCUGUGGUAUUCAAACAAGGGUGGAACCAUCUGGAUGGUCUUGGGACUACACUGGUCUUAAUGACGUUCAGUUCCGUUGCUGCAGUUAGGGAUGACAGAUGAAGUGAACAGCAACUCUCUCCAUCUCCCUGUAUUAUGCAGAUCUUCCAUAAUCUUUUCAUGAAAUCAUUAUCCUAAAUAGAGUGCAAUUACAAUACUGCAUUAUCCAUGAAGUUUUAUACCUAAAAAACUUCUAGUGUGUUUACUGAUGUCUUCAUUUUCCUCUGUCAAAAACAACCUAAUAUCAAAAUAAAUUCAGCUUAUUUGCCUUUAUCUUGA